AAACCUUUACUGCAGAGGGCCUCAGCAGGAUCACCUGGCAUUGGUGGAAACCACACACAAGGUGCCUGGUGACCAAGGCUGGUCAGAAAAGAGAGACCACAGGGGACGCAGCAGGGCCAGAUGCACCUCUGCCAAAGAAAGAAAGAGGCGUCCCAAAGGGCCAGUGCAUGGAGCUGCGCGGAGGGGAGGAGCGGAGUUCCAAUUUGGGCUCCAGAGAGAGAAGCCGCGGAAAGGAAAUGCGCGUUUGAGGAGAAAAGAGAAAAUCGCCAUCCUGGAAAGUGAGAAGAUGGGCUUGUGGGCGGGAGGAGGCACUGGUGGGCGGGCCAGGGAGAGAUUCGUGGUCACCGAUCAAAGUCAGCCUGGGUCAGCCUGCUGGUGGGCCUUUCCCCCGCCCUCGGUGCCCCUUCGACCUGUCCCUUGGGGGUCGGCCGGGGAAUGAGUGCGUGGCCAGGAGAGCGGGUCCCGCUUUCGAGCCCGCGGGGUCUUCUGCAGCUGGAGGGUGCCGUGGGCUUGGGGGCCCCCAGAUGCCCCGGGUCUUCCCCCAGAUCCUAGGGGAGCAACCGCGAGAGAAGUGGGCGCUCCGGGC
rnacentral:lncRNA from 1 species